AAGUCGUAACAAGGUUUCCGUAGGUGAACCUGCGGAAGGAUCAUUAUUGAAUGAACUUGGUGUGGUUGUUGCUGGCCCCCCCUCAAGGGGGGCAUGUGCACGCCCGCCAUCCUCAUCUCUUCACCCUGUGCACCUCUUGUAGGCUUGGAUAGAUUUUUUUUCCGAGGCAACUCGGUCGGGAGGAAUGCUGCGCGCAAGCCGGCUUUCUUUGCAAUUUUUCCAAGUCUAUGUUUUUCAUAUACCCCAUUAGUACGUAACAGAAUGUCAUUGGGCGCUUAGCGCCUAUAAAGUUUAUACAA
rnacentral:misc_RNA from 1 species